rnacentral:rRNA from 1 species
UACGUAGGGUGCAAGCGUUGUCCGGAAUCAUUGGGCGUAAAGAGCGCGUAGGCGGCCCUGUAAGUCCGCUGUGAAAGUCAAGGGCUCAACCCUUGAAUGCCGGUGGAUACUGCAGGGCUAGAGUCCGGAAGAGGCGAGUGGAAUUCCUGGUGUAGCGGUGAAAUGCGCAGAUAUCAGGAGGAACACCGAUGGCGAAGGCAGCUCGCUGGGACGGUACUGACGCUGAGGAGCGAAAGCGUGGGGAGCGAACAGG